AAUCUUAUUAAAAGCACUUCCAAAGAAAUUCGAAUUGCAUCCCCUUCAUCUUGGAGACGCGCUUCUGACAGAGGCUGAAACCCCUCUGUAAAACAAUGGCUUCCUCCAACACUCCCAAAUCCCAUAAAUCUCCCAAAGCCAAGAAAGGAGAAAUCUCCACCACCCAAAUUAAAGCGAAGGAGAAAAUUCGAGACAUCACCAAAGAGGAGAACCAAAAGAAGAAGAAUAAGAAGCCCAAGCUCAGCAAUGGCAAUUCCAAACACCCACACGAAAAGGGCGCAGAAGGAAGCGGCGAAGAUGGGAAAGCCAACGUGUUUCCCAUGAAUCGUAUCAGGACCAUGAUCAAGGGCGAAGAUCCUGAUAUGCGUGUUUCGCAGGAAGCGGUGUUAGCCAUCAACAAAGCUGUGGAGAAGUUUCUUGAGCAAUUCACGCAGGACGCUUAUGCUUGUUGUGUCCAGGACCGCAAGAAAUGUUUGAGUUACAAGCACGUUGGUGCACUAUCUGAGCAUUUUACUCUCUGGCCGUAGCUGCACCUGUUGAGCACUUUUUCUUUAUGAGAGGUGUCUCACUCUCCAAGCAGUUUUUGCUCUUUAGCAGCUGUCAGGCCCUUUAAGCAUUUUUGCUCUUUGCAAAUGUUGUUAGUAAGAAGAGGAGAUACGACUUUCUUUCCGAUUUUGUUCCUGAGAAAGUGAAAGCUGAGGAUGCAUUAAGAGAGAGAGAUGCAGCAGGCAAUGGAGUAUUUCAGAAAAUCUAAAGCGAGCUAAUGGAGAAUCUAAAGUAUAGUACAUUAUAGAAUCAUGUCACAUUUUGUAACGACAUGCUUUAGGAUCAGUAUUACUGUUUUAUAAUUUUCGAUAUUUUAUUUAUUUUCGCACUUCUCUUUCUUAAUAGUUUUAUUCUCGUAGUUGUAUUACUGUAUAUGGUUUUUCAGUGACCAGGCAUGCUUAAUGCUUGAGUCUGUUUUGGUAGCAUGCUGCAAAUUUGCCCGUGGAAAGCUGUGGAACACAAAUGAUUUUUACCACUGGAUGGAAUCAAUGUUUAAGCUAUGUUUGGAUGA